UACGUAGGGUGCAAGCGUUAUCCGGAAUUAUUGGGCGUAAAGAGCUCGUAGGCGGUUUGUCGCGUCUGCUGUGAAAACUGGAGGCUCAACCUCCAGCCUGCAGUGGGUACGGGCAGACUAGAGUGCGGUAGGGGAGAUUGGAAUUCCUGGUGUAGCGGUGAAAUGCGCAGAUAUCAGGAAGAACACCCGUGGCGAAGGCGGCUCUCUGGAACGCAACUGACGCUGAGACGCGAAAGCGUGGGGAGCAAACAGG
rnacentral:rRNA from 1 species